rnacentral:rRNA from 1 species
AGAGUUUGAUCCUGGCUCAGGACGAACGCUGGCGGCGUGCUUAACACAUGCAAGUCGAACGAAAAGACGGAAAGAGCUUGCUCUUUUCAGAAUUGAGUGGCAAACGGGUGAGUAACACGUAAACAACCUGCCUUCAGGAUGGGGACAACAGACGGAAACGACUGCUAAUACCGAAUAAGUUCCAAGGGCCGCAUGGCCCAUGGAAGAAAAGGUGGCCUCUACCUGUAAGCUAUCGCCUGAAGAGGGGUUUGCGUCUGAUUAGCUGGUUGGAGGGGUAACGGCCCACCAAGGCGACGAUCAGUAGCCGGUCUGAGAGGAUGAACGGCCACACUGGAACUGAGACACGGUCCAGACUCCUACGGGAGGCAGCAGUGGGGAAUCUUCCGCAAUGGGCGAAAGCCUGACGGAGCAACGCCGCGUGAGUGAUGACGGCCUUCGGGUUGUAAAACUCUGUGAUCCGGGACGAAAAGGCAGAGUGCGAAGAACAAACUGCAUUGACGGUACCGGAAAAGCAAGCCACGGCUAACUACGUGCCAGCAGCCGCGGUAAUACGUAGGUGGCAAGCGUUGUCCGGAAUUAUUGGGCGUAAAGCGCGCGCAGGCGGCUUCCCAAGUCCCUCUUAAAAGUGCGGGGCUUAACCCCGUGAUGGGAAGGAAACUGGGAAGCUGGAGUAUCGGAGAGGAAAGUGGAAUUCCUAGUGUAGCGGUGAAAUGCGUAGAGAUUAGGAAGAACACCGGUGGCGAAGGCGACUUUCUGGACGAAAACUGACGCUGAGGCGCGAAAGCGUGGGGAGCAAACAGGAUUAGAUACCCUGGUAGUCCACGCCGUAAACGAUGAUUACUAGGUGUGGGGGGACUGACCCCUUCCGUGCCGGAGUUAACACAAUAAGUAAUCCACCUGGGGAGUACGACCGCAAGGUUGAAACUCAAAGGAAUUGACGGGGGCCCGCACAAGCAGUGGAGUAUGUGGUUUAAUUCGACGCAACGCGAAGAACCUUACCAGGUCUUGACAUUGAUCGCGAUCUGCAGAAAUGCGGAGUUCUUCUUCGGAAGACGAGAAAACAGGUGGUGCACGGCUGUCGUCAGCUCGUGUCGUGAGAUGUUGGGUUAAGUCCCGCAACGAGCGCAACCC